rnacentral:rRNA from 1 species
GACGAACGCUGGCGGUGUGCUUAACACAUGCAAGUCGAACGGUAAGGCCCUUUCGGGGGUACACGAGUGGCGAACGGGUGAGUAACACGUGAGUAACCUGCCCUCAUCUCUGGGAUAACAGUCGGAAACGGUUGCUAAUACUGGAUAUGAGCUUGCAAGGCAUCUUGUGGGUUGGAAAGAUUUUUUUUGGUUGGGGAUGGACUCGCGGCCUAUCAGCUUGUUGGUGAGGUAGUGGCUCACCAAGGCUUCGACGGGUAGCCGGCCUGAGAGGGCGACCGGCCACAUUGGGACUGAGAUACGGCCCAAACUCCUACGGGAGGCAGCAGUGGGGAAUAUUGCACAAUGGACGGAAGUCUGAUGCAGCAACGCCGCGUGCGGGAUGACGGCCUUCGGGUUGUAAACCGCUUUCAAUUGUGACGAAGCUUUUUGUGACGGUAGCAGUAGAAGAAGCACCGGCUAACUACGU